AGGCAAUUAGUCUUAAGAAAAACAUUUGAUUUCGGCUCAAAAGCCUGCGGUUAAAAUCCGCAAUUGCCUA
rnacentral:tRNA from 3 species